rnacentral:rRNA from 1 species
GACGUAGGGCGCGAGCGUUGUCCGGAUUUAUUGGGCGUAAAGAGCUCGUAGGCGGCUUGUCGCGUCGACUGUGAAAACCCGCGGCUCAACUGCGGGCUUGCAGCCGAUACGGGCAGGCUAGAGUUCGGUAGGGGAGACUGGAAUUCCCGGUGUAGUGGUGAAAUGCGUAGAGAUCGGGAGGAACACCAGUGGCGAAGGCGGCCCUCUGGGCCGGGCCUGACGCUGAGACGCGAGGGCGUGGGGAGCGAACGGG